rnacentral:rRNA from 1 species
UACAGAGGGGGCAAGCGUUAUUCGGAAUUAUUGGGCGUAAAGGGCGCGUAGGCGGCUUGGCAAGUGAUGGGUGAAAUCCCUCGGCUUAACCGAGGAACUGCCCAUCAAACUGCUUGGCUUGAGGCCGGGAGAGGCGAGUGGAAUUCCCAGUGUAGCGGUGAAAUGCGUAGAUAUUGGGAGGAACACCGGUGGCGAAGGCGGCCACCUGGCCCGGCACUGGACGCUGAUGAGCGAAAGCUAGGGGAGACAAACGGGAGUUAGA